GUGGGGAAUAUUGCGCAAUGGGCGAAAGCCUGACGCAGCGACGCCGCGUGAGGGAUGAAGGUUUUCGGAUCGUAAACCUCUGUCAGAAGGGAAGAAACUACGUUGUGCUAAUCAGCAGCGUACUGACGGUACCUUCAAAGGAAGCACCGGCUAACUCCGUGCCAGCAGCCGCGGUAAUACGGAGGGUGCAAGCGUUAAUCGGAAUUAGUGGGCGUAAAGCGCACGUAGGCUGUAGUGUAAGUCAGGGGUGAAAUCCCACGGCUCAACCGUGGAACUGCCUUUGAUACUGCACAACUUGAAUCCGGGAGAGGGUGGCGGAAUUCCAGGUGUAGGAGUGAAAUGCGUAGAGAUCUGGAGGAAUACCGGUGGCGAAGGCGGCCCCCUGGACAAAGACUGACGCUCAGGUGCGAAAGCGUGGGGAGCAAACAGGAUUAGAAACCCGGGUAGUCC
rnacentral:rRNA from 1 species